GGGCUACACGGCGCCGAGGGGCGGGGCUACACGGGGCCAGGCUGCAGAGCCUGAGGAGGACAGAAACUGUGGCCAGCCAUAUGGGAGACACCUGGCCACAAGAUCACAGCAAGCCAGAGACAAAUGUAAGAUCGCAGUCUGGGCUCACUGCCAAGGGCUGGUAUUUCACAGCAGCGACUGCCUUACAGAUAAGAGCUGUGAGAAGCAGGAGGUACAGCUCGCUUAGGGUUUGUCUGCUAUGGAGGCACAGCUGGGCUGUUCCAGAUUCGCCACGAAACAACAAGCAAAAGAGAAGAGCACUCAGUAGCCAGAAGAGCUAGCAGCCAAUCCGGCCGUGCCGCACUGUUCGAAACCCAGCUUCUCAUCUCAGCCAAUCAGUGACAUCAUUGUUUGCAUACUUAAUGAUUGAUGCCCGUACCUAACCUACCACCCACUCUCAGAGGAAAUUGCCAGCGAAGCAACAUGCAAAUGCUGUACUCUUCAAAUAAUAUUAUUCAAAGGAAAAGACAAUAAAUGAUUAUAGAUCUCCAAGGAUUACAUGAUGUUCUGUGGCCACAGAAGCGCAGCACUGAGGUGAAGUGAUAAAGAAGCAUAAGGGAACAUGGGAAUUGGCUUGCAAAAGAGAAGUGAUUUAAAAGACAUUAUUAUAUGCAAGGAAACAAAAAUGAAGUUGAUCAAAUGAAUGGAUGAAGGCAACAAGUUUGCAGAACACCAACAAAAAGACGUGACCAACUGGAACAAAUCUGGGGCAGGAAUUCCCUAAAAGGCUAUUUUUCCCUGGCACUAUGGAAGAAGCAAAAUGACAAUGUCUGACACCAAAAGAAGAAAAAUCCCUGGGACCACAAAUAUUUUAUCCACUGGAUUCUACCGUAUUUUCCUUUGCUGCAAGACCUUUCCGGGCUGAGUUGAUGGCGUUUGGUUUUGGAGAAAACGAGAACGAUUCCACUUUAAUUGGGAAUGCUAUUGCUCCUGUGGCACAAGCCUGUCUUAUGAAAUGAAUAUGCUUGGAUUGUGGUAGACCUUCUAAAAGCAAAGGCAGCAGAACCCCCUGGUGAUAGAAAGAUGUGUACAGGUUCUUUGCUAUGCUCUUCCUAUACAAGUGUUAAACUUGUGUCUGCACAAUUGGUCCCCACGAUACCUGUCUGCAGCAGGAUCCGUAGCGCCUUACGUUAAAAUAAGGUGUACAAUAUAGCACGAUUUUCCACUGUUUUUCUAUUAUUUUCUCAGUAGACGAAGCAAUCCACAUCCUCGGGCCCAAGGUAGCAACAGGAUAUACAUUUGGGUUACACAGUCUCCCUCACUCCCUGAGUGAUACUCAGUCUUAGUAUACAGGGGUGCACUGCGCUCAUCAAACAUUUUUUAAUUUGUAAUCUUUAUUUUCCUGCUCAUCCAUCGUCCCAUGUGUAGGAAACUGUUGAAUUAAGCACAAUGUUUGAAUGAAUAUGUACAGUGUCUCAUGUUGUAUCCUUGAAACAAACUACAAUGGUGAAAGCAAGUUAAACCUUUAGGAUAUUCACAUUCAUGGAGGACGCCAUCGACGGAACGAUGUUAGACUUUUCCUAGUCCCUGAGACCCUAACUUGUGAGGAUUUUUUAUCACUGAUCACAAGUUUGGCUCUUGGGACCUAGGCGGAGGGGAACCAGCAGCUCUGGACUCUAUUAAUCGUGUAUCUGCGACUUUGAAUUAAUAAAUUAUUUAAUUGGGUCUGAGAUAGUUAAUGUAUAUGACAUUUGGUUUUGGAUUGGGUCUGGGGGAUGGCAGGAAUGCUCUAACAAUAAAAAAAAUAUAUAAUAUAUAUAUAUAAAAUAUAUAAUAUAUAUAACGCACGGGUUGCUUUAUGUACUAUGUAUGUUAAAAUACCUGGUUUAAUGCAAAAUAACUAUUAUCUUUUUUUAAACAAAUGUGUUUUAUGUUCAAUGCUAUUCUUAUACAAUUUUCUAUUAUAUAAUAUAGCAUUAAAAAUUAGAACAUGUUGCUGUUGUGUGGCCCUCUUUUUUAAAUAUAUAUAUAUAUAUAUAUAUAUAUAUAUAUGUACUGUUUUGCUCUUUCGCUGCAAUGUAUAUAUCACAUACAUUAUACAUUAUGAUAUUCAUCUUACUACUUCAUCAUUUACUGAUGUACUUUAUUGACUUGUGAAUGUACCCUGAAAUUAAGGGUAUUACUUGGCCUUUUAAUAUGUAUCACUAUAUUGUUGUUGUUAAAUGUUAUGCAAUACAAAUUGCUGAAUAUAUGAAUACAGUAAAUGGUUACAGUACAGCCCAGAUUGCUUUAUACAUAUUAAUAAACAGUAUAAUUUAAGUAGAACAAUCCUUUUGUUUGUUUAAUUAGCUGCAGUAGGACCACUCGUACGUAUGGCUACAAAAUACAGUAUGUACAAAGCUAUUACUGGUGUGUUCUAUUUCUAUCUAUUUAAAUGAUACUGAUUUGUUUAUUUUCCAUUGUAUUGCUUAUUUAGAUGUUUAAGUCGUGCCCCUUGUUUAUGCUGAAUGGUUACAAAAACAAAUGUUACACUCAGUAUAGAUUACAAUAAAAGAAAAUCAAAGGGACUGUCAAAUGCAGUACACUGUAUUAUAAAAAGCAGACGUGUAAUAAUUAUUGUUAGUAAAUGACUCAUUGGUUUAACAGGGAAAUCCCCGCGCUAUACAUUUUCUAUGUGUAAGUGUACAAUUAGCCCUUCACUUGUGGCUAUGCAUAUUUCAUUGUACAGCUAAUUAUAUCUUUUUUUUGUCUUCCCUAAAACGUAUGAUUGUAGGUAAUAAUAUCAUGCUCCCACUAAAAAGCUUCAGCUUUCGGAUGUCAGCGAGUGAGGGAGGGGGGGAGGGAGAGAAAGAGAAUCAUGUGCGGUGCAUACAAAAAAGGAGGGAUGUUAACAAUUCGAUGAAUUCCUGGCGGGUAGACUAGACUGGUCCAGACGCAUACAUUAACUCCUGUCUACUGCUGAUGUGAGCUUACUCAGUGUGUUGGAAAUGAAGGAUCACCUAGGAUCUGACACCACCUUAUUUGUCCAGUUUAAUUUUUAAAACACAAGAAAACAACGUUACUAAAGCAUUAAUGCCUUAACCCCUUCUAGGCUGCAUACCCCCACCCAACGGAUAUCUCCGACACAAUUUAAUCUACAGUAUAUCCAUCUUUUUUUAUUUUUUUUAAUUAUUUUUUUUGUCGAUUCUGCAUAUUGUCUUAAUUUUGGCUUUUUAUUCAUCAUCAUUUUUGGAAAGUCCUAAUAAUAUAUAUAUUUUUUUGUCAAUAAAGCUACAUUAUGGCCGAGCAAGAUGCUUAAUUUGUUCCAGAGCAGGGUCGGCAGCGAAAUGGUUAACGCAACAGCUGAGCAAAUUAUUUAUGUUAUUAUGUUAAUUACCUUUUUCUGGAAUACUAGAGGGAGAAGAAAGGAAAUACUAAACACUAUGCCCCUCUGAAUCAAGUGAGCACUGCAGGAUACACUG